rnacentral:tRNA from 1 species
CGGGGUGUGGCGCAGCAUGGUAGCGCGCUUGCAUGGGGUGCAAGAGGCCCCCGGUUCAAGUCCGGGCACCCCGA